rnacentral:rRNA from 1 species
AGUGAACGCUGGCGGUAGGCCUAACACAUGCAAGUCGAACGGCAGCACAGUAAGAGCUUGCUCUUACGGGUGGCGAGUGGCGGACGGGUGAGGAAUACAUCGGAAUCUACUUUUUCGUGGGGGAUAACGUAGGGAAACUUACGCUAAUACCGCAUACGACCUCCGGGUGAAAGCAGGGGAUCUUCGGACCUUGCGCGAUUGAAUGAGCCGAUGUCGGGUUAGCUAGUUGGCGGGGUAAAGGCCCACCAAGGCGACGAUCCGUAGCUGGUCUGAGAGGAUGAUCAGCCACACUGGAACUGAGACACGGUCCAGACUCCUACGGGAGGCAGCAGUGGGGAAUAUUGGACAAUGGGCGCAAGCCUGAUCCAGCCAUACCGCGUGGGUGAAGAAGGCCUUCGGGUUGUAAAGCCCUUUUGUUGGGAAAGAAAAGCAGCAGGUUAAUACCCCGCUGUUCUGACGGUACCCAAAGAAUAAGCACCGGCUAACUUCGUG